rnacentral:rRNA from 1 species
AUGGCUAAUCUUGCCAACAUGUUUGCUGUCCUUGACCUGGAUGGCGAGGACGAUCGAAAGGAAGUGGAACAACCGACAUCCAGCAAGCCAGAAGCUGCUGCCGCCCCCGCCCCCAGGAAACCCGAUAGUGGCAUGAUGAAUAACAAAAUGAUUGUAAAUUACGAUGGGGAUAAACUUGGUUCAUCGUCAAGUGAAUACAAGAUGCCAUUGGUGUGGAUUGACUUGGAAAUGACCGGUUUGGAUAUCAGAAAAGACCGCAUACUGGAGAUUGCUUGUAUUAUAACAGAUGGUAAACUUACCAAACGGAUAGAGAGUCGGGAGACGAGUUCGCUAACGAGGAGCCCGUUGAGUUUGCUUUCGAGGAACCAGUCAACUCUGACAACUGUGCAGGGUCCUGAUUUGGUUAUAAGACAGAGCAAGGAAUGCUUAGACAACAUGAAUGAAUGGUGUAAAACCCAUCAUGGUGCCAGUGGACUGACAGAACAAGUAUUGCAGAGUGACAUUUAUGAGUGUGAUGCUGAGAAACAGGUGCUAGACUUUGUUAGGAGGUAUAUUGGUUCGGCGACUCCAUUGAUUGCUGGGAAUUCUAUCUAUACAGAUUUACUAUUUUUGAAGGAGUAUAUGCCACAGCUUGCAGGCAUAUUCCCUCAUGUGAUAGUUGAUGUGAGCAGCAUAACGGCUCUGUGCAUCCGCUGGUUCCCCAAGGAAAGAAAGCAAGCUCCAAGAAAGGAGAAAAACCACAGGGCACUGGACGACAUCAGAGAGAGCAUCAUGGAGCUGCAGUACUACAAGGAGAACAUCUUCAAAUCGCGGCAAUCUAAGCAUUAG